GAGCAGUUGGUUUCGUUGUCUUAAUUUGGGGCAGUAAUGAUUUCUGAGAAGCAGGUGAUUGAUAACGCGCAAAUUCAAAGCCCCUUGGGGGCUGCAUUGUAGCAUGGUGUGGGGAUGGGGAGACAGAGGGCUGGUAGGAUCCCGAAUUCCUAGUUUUUCUCUCCCUCUCCCUUGCUUCUUCAUUUUCUUCCUUCAGGCUUUCUUCCAUUUCUUUCUUCCAUCAAAUAUUUGUGGAGCUGGAACUGGGCUUCACUAUCAUAUUCCAAGGCCCUGUACUGGGAACAGACAAAGAAGCUCCUCCCAGAGACUGGAAGAAUGGUACAAGGUGUGAAAACCAAGGCUUAAAGCAUGCAAGUUAUUUGCCCGAGGUUUUUCAGCCACAAAUGAAGAAGCUGGGUCUGCUCCACACCUGUGAACCAGGCUAUUUCCACCAUAACCUGAACUCAGAUGAGCACCAGCCCAUGGAGAAUAGUCCAGAAGGCUGCCCAUAGCCUUAAAGGACAGUCAGCCUCACAAAAUGAGUGUUAUAUUCUGGAUUAUCAGAAGAGAAAUGUGAGAUGCAGGCAGGUUGAGAAAAUUGCUCCAAGUCACUUCGGGAAUGUGUGCAUGGACAAGGAAGCAGGAAGAUCCCAAGGAAAAAGAAGCAGCAUGAAAAAUGACAAGAAGACUACAACAGAAGUUUCUACGAACUUUGCACACACAGAAGAGGGUUCUUUUAGUUUUAGUCAGGAUAGGAAAAGGACAAAAUAAAAGUGAACAUUUAUUGAGCC